rnacentral:rRNA from 1 species
GUGAGUAACACGUGGAUGACCUUCCCCAAAGACGGGGAUAACUCUUGGAAACAGGGGCUAAUACCCGAUGUGCUCAGCAGUUCACUCUGUUGAGUAAAGCUAUGGCGCUUUGGGAUGGGCCCGCGGCCCAUCAGCUAGUUGGUAGGGUAAUGGCCUACCAUUGCUAAGACGGGUAUGGGGCGUGAGAGCUCGAUCCCCCACACUGGCACUGAGACACGGGCCAGACUCCUACGGGAGGCAGCAGUGAGGAAUAUUGCGCAAUGGACGAAAGUCUGACGCAGCGACGCCGCGUGGGCGAUGAAGGCCUUCGGGUCGUAGAGCCCUAAUCUGGGGGAAGAGAAAGGACGGUACCCCAGGAAUAAGCCCCGGCUAACUACGUGCCAGCAGCCGCGGUAAAACGUACGGGGGCAAGCGUUAUCCGGAUUUACUGGGCGUAAAGAGCGUUGAGGCGCGAAUGUAAGUAGGGCGUGAAAGCCCUGGGCUUAACUCAGGGAAGCCGUUCAAUACUGCCGAAACUUGAGGCAAGCAGAGGGAGGUGGAAUUCCCGGAGUACCGCUGAAGUGCGUAGAUAUCGGGAGGAACACCAGUGGCGAAGUCGGCCUCCUGGACUGCUCCUGACGCUGAAGGCGAAAGCUAGGGGAGCAAACGGGAUUAGAAACCCCGGUAGUCCUAGCCGUAAACGAUGGAUGCUAGGUGUGGGGGGUGUAGAUUCCCUCCGUGCCGCAGUUAACGCGUUAAGCAUCCCGCCUGGGGAGUACGGCCGCAAGGCUAAAAGUCAGACGAAUCGACGGGGGCCCGCACAAGCAGCAGGAGCCUGUGGUCUAAAGCGAUGCUACACGAAGAACCAUACCUGGGCUUGACAUACAGGUAGUAGUGAAGUGAAAGCGGAUCGACCCUUCGGGGAGCCUGUACAGGUGCUGCAUGGCUGUCGUCAGCUCGUGCCGUGAGGUGUCGGGUUAAGUCCCGUCACGAGCGCAACCCUUGCUCUUAGUUAUACGUGUCUAAGAGGACUGCCGGCGGUAAGCCGGAGGAAGGUGGGGAUUACGUCAAGUCAGCAUGGCCUUUAUGUCCAGGGCUACACACACGCUACAAUGGCCGGUACAAUGGGUAGCUAAACCGCGAGGUGGAGCCAAUCCUGUAAAGC